rnacentral:rRNA from 1 species
GAUCAUGGCUCAGGAUGAACGCUAGCGACAGGCUUAACACAUGCAAGUCGAGGGGCAGCAUAAAAGUAGCAAUACUUGGUGGCGACCGGCGCACGGGUGAGUAACGCGUAUGCAACCUACCUAUCAGGAGGGGAAUAACCCGGCGAAAGUCGGACUAAUACCGCAUAAAACAGGGGCACCGCAUGGUGAUAUUUGUUAAAGAAAUUCGCUGAUAGAUGGGCAUGCGUUCCAUUAGGUAGUUGGUGAGGUAACGGCUCACCAAGCCGACGAUGGAUAGGGGAACUGAGAGGUUGGUCCCCCACACUGGUACUGAGACACGGACCAGACUCCUACGGGAGGCAGCAGUGAGGAAUAUUGGUCAAUGGGCGGGAGCCUGAACCAGCCAAGUCCGCGUGAAGGAAGAAGGAUCUAUGGUUCGUAAACUUCUUUUGCAGGGGAAUAAAGUGCAGGACGUGUCCUGUUUUGUAUGUACCCUGAGAAUAAGGAUCGGCUAACUCCGUGCCAGCCGCGGC